UUGGAGGGCAAGUCUGGUGCCAGCAGCCGCGGUAAUUCCAGCUCCAAUAGCGUAUAUUAAAGUUGUUGCAGUUAAAAAGCUCGUAGUUGAAUUUCGGGAUUAAUUUAUUGGUCGUGCUUUUGUACGUACUGGUAUUAUUGAUUCCUACCUUCUGACGAACCAUGAUGUCAUUAAUUUGGUGUCUUGGGGAAUCAGGACUGUUACUUUGAAAAAAUUAGAGUGGUUAAAGCAGG
rnacentral:rRNA from 1 species